CCAAGCCAGCACUGUUUAAGGUCCACACAGGCCAGCAACGAUGUGGGCCUUACCUGCUUCUCCAGCUGCAUCUGGAACCAGGCAUCCCCUGAGCUUGAACCCCAGCUACACAGAGCUACUUGCAUUUUUUAACACCUCCUCACUGCCUCAUGGAUCCGUGGAUCCUGUCCAUUUAAUCGCCCACUGCACGUCCACCGCCCACUGCAGUGGACUCAGCAGUGAAUGAGACAGACGCAAUCCCCACCCUCACUGCCUUUCUUCCCGAGACCGUCCUUCUCCCAGGGGCUCCUUUACCCCACCCAGGCUCGCCUCCGGGAACUCCCCGCGAGCCCUCAGCUGACUCGCUCCCUCUCAGCUCCGAGCCAGCGCUGCAGGGAGGGCAGCGGGGAGCCCUGUUGGGGGAGCCGGUGGGGCUCGGCCUGGCUCUCGCUGGGAGACUUCAGCGAGUCCUGGAACCUUUAACUGCAACUCCCUCGCGGCAGGUUUGCUUUGGCUUGUUGUGGUUUCUCUCUUUUGCCGCUCACUUCUAUCAACACCCUUAUUUCUUGGGAGGCACUUUGCAAGAGACCCGAAGGCAGACAAGCGCCCUGACUCCACGAGCUUACAGCCUGAGCGCGGAGACCCCUCACAGGGGACAGCUCUUCAAAGCAGCAAAAAUCCAUUAUAACGGAGGAACAUGACGACCUCCAUAAAGAAAAUUCUGCUUUGGUGUCCAUCAAAAAUGACAGAAGAAAGAGGAAGUUCCAGAACUGGCAGAACUAACCUGCAAUGACAGAAAUCUCAUGAGCGGCUGCCCGGGGCAGAAGGUUAGCCGGAGGAUCAACAGCGAAAGGCACGGGGAGCUUUCUGUGACAGGGGAAUGUUCUAUGUUUUGAUUGGGAUGUGGCUACAAGGGCACACAUUUGUCAAGACUCACCAAAGUGUGUACUUAAAACAUACGCAUUUUUCUGUGCGCAAAUUAUCCUUCCACAAAGUUGAGUAACAACAACAAAAAAGACUUCCUCAAAAUUAGUCUGUGAAACGGUCUAUCUCUUUCAAGUUAGCAGGUUCUCGUGUGGGCGUGACAGAAAUGAGUUCUGAGAUUUAGUAACUAUCAUGAAAAUCUUGAACAGCAGCCAUUUUUAUCUGGUUUUAAUGUACUCAUAUUGCAAGUCAGGAACUUAUUUUGAUUUUUCAACAGAUUCCAGAUUUAACUUUAGAAGCACUUUCAAGCAUGAUUUUAAAG
rnacentral:lncRNA from 1 species